CCUACGGGCGGCAGCAGUGGGGAAUAUUGCACAAUGGGGGAAACCCUGAUGCAGCGACGCCGCGUGAGUGAAGAAGUAAUUCGUUACGUAAAGCUCUAUCAGCAGGGAAGAAAAUGACGGUACCUGAGUAAGAAGCCCCGGCUAACUACGUGCCAGCAGCCGCGGGAAUACGUAGGGGGCAAGCGUUAUCCGGAUUUCCUGGGGGUAAAGGGAGCGUAGACGGUGGGACAAGUCUGAAGUGAAAGCCCGGGGGUCAACCCCGGGACUGAUUUGGAAACUGCCUGACUGGAGUGCUGGAGAGGCAGGCGGAAUUCGUAGUGGAGCGGUGAAAUGCGUAGAUAUUAGGAAGAACACCAAUGGCGAAGGCGGCUUGCUGGACAGUAACUGACGUUGAGGCUCGAAAGCGUGGGGAGCAAACAGGAUUAGAUACCCGGGUAGUC
rnacentral:rRNA from 1 species